rnacentral:rRNA from 1 species
AGUGAACGCUGGCGGUAGGCCUAACACAUGCAAGUCGAACGGCAGCACAGUAAGAGCUUGCUCUUACGGGUGGCGAGUGGCGGACGGGUGAGGAAUACAUCGGAAUCUACUUUUUCGUGGGGGUUAACGUAGGGAAACUUACGCUAAUACCGCAUACGACCUACGGGUGAAAGCAGGGGAUCUUCGGACCUUUCGCGAUUGAAUGAGCCGAUGUCGGAUUAGCUAGUUGGCGGGGUAAAGGCCCACCAAGGCGGCGAUCCGUAGCUGGUCUGAGAGGAGGAUCGGCGGCAUGGGAAGUGAGACACGGUCCAGACGACUACGGGAGGCAGCAGUGGGGAAUAUUGGACAAUGGGGGCAAGCCUGAUCCAGCCAGACCGCGUGGGUGAAGAAGGCCUUCGGGUUGUAAAGCCCUUUUGUUGGGAAAGAAAAGCAGCAGGUUAAUACCCCGCUGUUCUGACGGUACCCAAAGAAUAAGCACCGGCUAACUUCGUG